rnacentral:rRNA from 1 species
UCGACGGAAGGCCCUUCGGGGUACUCGAGUGGCGAACGGGUGAGUAACACGUGGGUGAUCUGCCCUGCACUUUGGGAUAAGCCUGGGAAACUGGGUCUAAUACCGAAUAGGACCUCGCGCUUCAUGGUGUGUGGUGGAAAGCUUUUGCGGUGUGGGAUGGGCCCGCGGCCUAUCAGCUUGUUGGUGGGGUAAUGGCCUACCAAGGCGACGACGGGUAGCCGGCCUGAGAGGGUGACCGGCCACACUGGGACUGAGAUACGGCCCAGACUCCUACGGGAGGCAGCAGUGGGGAAUAUUGCACAAUGGGCGCAAGCCUGAUGCAGCGACGCCGCGUGAGGGAUGACGGCCUUCGGGUUGUAAACCUCUUUCAAUAGGGACGAAGCGCAAGUGACGGUACCUAUAGAAGAAGCACCGGCCAACUACGUGCCAGCAGCCGCGGUAAUACGUAGGGUGCGAGCGUUGUCCGGAAUUACUGGGCGUAAAGAGCUCGUAGGUGGUUUGUCGCGUUGUUCGUGAAAACUCACAGCUUAACUGUGGGCGUGCGGGCGAUACGGGCAGACUAGAGUACUGCAGGGGAGACUGGAAUUCCUGGUGUAGCGGUGGAAUGCGCAGAUAUCAGGAGGAACACCGGUGGCGAAGGCGGGUCUCUGGGCAGUAACUGACGCUGAGGAGCGAAAGCGUGGGGAGCGAACAGGAUUAGAUACCCUGGUAGUCCACGCCGUAAACGGUGGGUACUAGGUGUGGGUUCCUUCCUUGGGAUCCGUGCCGUAGCUAACGCAUUAAGUACCACGCCUGGNGAGUACGGCCGCAAGGCUAAAACNNNNNGGAAUUGACGGGGGCCCGCACAAGCGGC